rnacentral:sRNA from 1 species
GCUGGGCACAGUGGUGCAUGCCUGUAAUUCCAACAACUUGGGAGGCGGGGGCAGGAGGAUUGCAAGUUUAAGGCUAGCCUCACCAACUUAGCAAGACCCUGUCUCAA